AAUCUGAGCUAAGUUCUUCCAACCUAGCUCACCAGCACCAGGGACCAAACAAGGAAGGGCGGAAAACAUAAGUAACACAGGGCUUAGGUAAUAACAUCGAUAUUUUGCUAAAUUCUUGAGGGCGGAAAGUUUUUAUAGAACAUCAUUUUUAGAGAGAUUCAGAUAAGUCGAUGCAGCUACAGAACGUCAAUUUUUCAAGAGAAAUGGAGCUAGUAAAAUAAAUCAGGGUGAACAGGGUCACAAUUACCGCAUCUCAAUUUCACUAAGUU